CAGCGCCACGAGUGGGGACCAUGGUUAUUGGGCCUAAAGCGUUCGUAGCAGGUCGUGUAAAUCUUUUGUGAAAUCGUUGGGCUUAACCUAACGGCGUGCAGGAGACACUGCAGAACUUGGGACCGGGAGGGGUUAGAAGUAUUUUUGGGGGAGCGGUAAAAUGCAGUAAUCCCAAGAGGACUACCUGUGGCGAAGGCGUCUAACCAGAACGGGUCCGACAGUGAGGAACGAAAGCCAGGGGAGCAAACCGGAUUAGAUACCCGAGUAGUCC
rnacentral:rRNA from 1 species